rnacentral:snoRNA from 15 species
GUUUGUAUGAUGACUUAUGUGUCGGAUACCCCUUCACUCUUUCAAUGAGUGAAACAUUGAAGUCUGACAAAC